rnacentral:rRNA from 1 species
GUGGCGAACGGGUGAGUAACACGUGAGUAACCUGCCCUUGACUCUGGGAUAAGCGUUGGAAACGACGUCUAAUACCGGAUACGAGCUGGGACCGCAUGGUCACCAGCUGGAAAGAACUUCGGUCAAGGAUGGACUCGCGGCCUAUCAGCUAGUUGGUGAGGUAACGGCUCACCAAGGCGACGACGGGUAGCCGGCCUGAGAGGGUGACCGGCCACACUGGGACUGAGACACGGCCCAGACUCCUACGGGAGGCAGCAGUGGGGAAUAUUGCACAAUGGGCGCAAGCCUGAUGCAGCAACGCCGCGUGAGGGACGACGGCCUUCGGGUUGUAAACCUCUUUUAGCAGGAAAGAAGCGAAAGUGACGGUACCUGCAGAAAAAGCGCCGGCUAACUACGUGCCAGCAGCCGCGGUAAUACGUAGGGCGCAAGCGUUGUCCGGAAUUAUUGGGCGUAAAGAGCUCGUAGGCGGUCUGUCGCGUCUGCUGUGAAAACCCGAGGCUCAACCUCGGGCCUGCAGUGGGUACGGGCAGACUAGAGUGCGGUAGGGGAGAUUGGAAUUCCUGGUGUAGCGGUGGAAUGCGCAGAUAUCAGGAGGAACACCGAUGGCGAAGGCAGAUCUCUGGGCCGUAACUGACGCUGAGGAGCGAAAGCGUGGGGAGCGAACAGGAUUAGAUACCCUGGUAGUCCAC